rnacentral:tRNA from 1 species
CAAAUUAUAACUUAAUAAAAGUAUUUUAUUUACAUUAAAAAUAUAUGGUUUAAAUCCAUUGGUUUGA